UACGGAAGGCAGCAGUGGGGAAUAUUGCACAAUGGGCGCAAGCCUGAUGCAGCCAUGCCGCGUGUAUGAAGAAGGCCUUCGGGUUGUAAAGUACUUUCAGCGGGGAGGAAGGCGAUGCGGUUAAUAACCGCGUCGAUUGACGUUACCCGCAGAAGAAGCACCGGCUAACUCCGUGCCAGCAGCCGCGGUAAUACGGAGGGUGCAAGCGUUAAUCGGAAUUACUGGGCGUAAAGCGCACGCAGGCGGUCUGUUAAGUCAGAUGUGAAAUCCCCGGGCUUAACCUGGGAACUGCAUUUUGAAACUGGCAGGCUUGAGUCUUGUAGAGGGGGUAGAAUUCCAGGUGUAGCGGUGAAAUGCGUAGAGAUCUGGAGGAAUACCGGUGGCGAAGGCGGCCCCUGGGACAAAGCUGACGCUCAGGUGCGAAAGCGUGGGGAGCAAACGAGGAUUUAGGAUACCCGGU
rnacentral:rRNA from 1 species